CCCUUUUCGUCCUUUAACCAAUAUCAUUACCCUCGUGUCAUUUAUCUCUUCAUUUCAAUUUUCCCCAGAGGAGUACUCAUUCUGAAAGAUCUGGAUUGAGUCCUUUGUUUGAGCGAGAGCAGAAAGGUUUCGAAAAAGCACACCGUAGCGUAUAGGAUAGAUAUCGCCUUUGUUGAGGGUUUCGCCGCGGCAGAGAGAGAGAGUCGAUUGGAUACGGACUGCAUCGAAGGAAAACAGCCAACAACUGUUCUUGGGAUCAUGAAGAGGUGAAACAGAAAUUUGGAUGAACGUUUUACCGAGCAGGUCUACUCUUCGAAAGUUGUAUCUCGAACUUGUUUCGUUUUCAGCUGUUUGAGACACGAGUCGAAAAAAGAUCAACUGAGACGGCAUAUUUAUGCUGAGUAAAUUUUAUUCAAUACUGGUUUACAUUUAAAGAAAGAUUCCUCAUGCAUUUUGGAUCUUUGUGUGCGCCGUUCACACGUACCAGCAGAAUCAAGCUGAAAAGGAGAUUGGAAUAUUUCCAUAUCCGCACAUCAAGGCAGCGAGAUCUGUUUCAUUUCCACCUAGGAUUUAUGAAGUAAAACAUAAUGUAUCUGUUUUUCGCCAGUGUUUCAGAAAGAUAGUCAUAAUCCUAUGUGAGAAAAACACCAGUGUUACAUGCUCAGUGUUAUUGGUGAAGUUCGGUUUCAGUCUACAUUACCGACGCGACUAAUUCUACUUAUGCAUGUUUAACAAAACUUUCUGCUUUAAGCGUGUCAUUUCUGUCUCCCUUCCUCGUUUUGCUUCUCUUUUGCCGACCGAACUAACACUAAUCUUCCUACAAAAAUGACACAUCCUUAAUACCCUGUCAGUAUAUAGUGCGUACUAUUUGGGUAAUAAGUAGUGAAGUUGAAUUGGCAAAAUCAGUGCAUUUUCUUUGUUGUUUACGAGGAAAGGAAAAAGAAAUUGUAUACAUUUUUCGGUUCUGUUCUUUUACUCUACUUCUGUAGGACGUGCUAUGUUGUGACCUACUAGGAAAGUUUCCUGUCAAUUGUGAUUGCUCAGUUUACUCGUUGGAAACUUCACCAUCUAAAUUUGGAUACUACUGUGUUCUAUUGUACAAGUUUCUAAUGGACGUGGAAUAUCACAGUGAAGCGCGACGA